AAAGUAAGGGCUCAGAUGUCAUCUUUUAGUGCCUUGGACAGUGUGACCUCCCUGUAAACAGGGAUCUGGUCUCUCCAUUUAAGUUGAGUUCCUUUUACUGGGCUGAUGACAAUGAUUGUCCUUUAAGGAGGUGAAUUUAGCUCAGGUACCUGUGACUCACAGGAAGUACAGCAUCCCUUAGUACUUGGGCAGUGUGGCCACCCUGUAUAGAGGGUUCAGGUCUCUGCCUUUUGUUCUUUUGCCACCAUGCUACUUCAGCCAUUUGGUUUGAGUCCUGACCCUCUAAUUAAGGGAUUGUUUGUGUCCUUCUGCCUUCUGGGGGAUAUUGAGCUCUGUGGACCCCUGAGCAGUGUGACCGCCCUGUAACUAGGGUCCAGGUCUUUGCCAUUUGCUUUUUUGGCAUUAGGCCAUGCUUGGCCCACUAGUCAGCAUGACAGCCCUGUAAUUAGGGUGCAUGUCACAAGUAACUAUAGAAUAGGACAUAUUGAGUCCUUUGGUACUUUGAGGAGCUCGACCUUCCUGUAAUUCAGGUUACGGUCUCUGCUAUUUGGCUAAUCCCAGCGACCACCCUGUAAUCAGGGUACAGGUUGCAUCUCCCUUUUGAAUUCUUUGGAAUUGGAACAUGUAACAUGGGCAGUUUGACCUCCCUGUAACUAGGGUUUGGUCUCCGAGGCCCUUUGGGUCUCUUGGCAUUGUGCUUUCCUCACAGCCCGAGGCGAGUGACCGCCCUGUAAUCAGGGAUCUGGUCUUUGCCCUCUAUUCUCUUGGCACUAGGUCAAGCGCAGCCCACUGAUCUGAAUGAGCACCCUGUAAACAGGGUACAGGUCUCAUCAGACACUAUUUAUGGUGUCCCCAUGAGACAGUGUCCAGAGUCCUGGCCCUUUGCACUGUGCUUCCAACUUGCCUGGAAUUGUGCAGCCAAGUCUCCUGCUUUCUGCUCCGCUUACUGUGCUCUGGGAGAUCCGACAUCCUGCUGCUGUUGCUGGCAGCUCCGAGCACAAGUGGAUAAGAAGGAAGUGUCAGAAACGUCAAGCAAAGAAGAAUAACGAGGACAAGUCACUGAAGAUGGAGGAGAAGGAAAGGGACUCUGGGCACAGUAACCUCCCUGUAUCAGGCCUCAGGUCAUGUAAUUACACUGUACGGGGAUCUCGAGCCUUUUAAUACCUUGAGCAGCGUGACCACCUUGUAAUCAGGGUCCAGGUCUGUGCUGUUUUGUCCUUUCAACAUUAUGCUCCAUUAGCUGGCUAGUGAGAGUGACUGCCCUGUAAUCAGGGUGCAAGUCACCCCCUCCCCUCGCUUUCGAGGGAAUUGAGCUCUUUGGUAACUUGAGCAAUGUGACCGCCCUGUAACUAGGGUCCAGGUCUUUGCCCGCUUGCUCGUUUGGCAUUACGCCGUACACUGGCCGACUACUCAGUGUGACCGCCCUGUAAUUAGGGAGCAGGUCACAAAUAUCUAUAGAAUGGGACAUAUUGAGUCCUUUGGUACUUUGAGGAGCUCGACCUUCCUGUAAUUCAGGUUACGGUCUCUGCUAUUUUGCUAAUUCCAGCGACCACUCUGUAAUCAGGGCACAGGUGGCAUCUCUCUUUUGAAAUCUUUGGAAUUGGAACCAUUUCAGUAACAUGGGCAGUUUGAACUCCCUGUAACUAGGGUUUGGUCUCCGAGGCCCUUUGGUCUCUUGGCAUUGUGCUUUCUUCACAGCCUGAGGCGAGUGACCGCCCUGUAAUAAGGGAAUCUGGUCUUGGCCCUCUGGUCUCUUCGCACUAGGUCAAGUGCAGCCCACUGAUCUGAAUGAGCACCCUGUAAACAGGGUACAGGUCUCAUCAGACACUAUUUAUGGUGCCCCCAUGAGACUGUGUCCAGAGUCCUGGCCCUUCACACUGCGCUUCCAACUUGCCUGGAAUUGUGCAGCCAAGUCUCCUGCUUUCUGCUCCGCUUACUGUGCUCUUGGAGACCCGACAUCCUGCUGCUGUUGCUGGCAGCUCCAAGCACAAGGGGACAAGAAGGAAGUGUGAGGAAUGUCAAGCAAAGAGGAGGAAAGAGGACAAGUCACUGAAGAUGGAGGAGAAGGAAAGGGACUCUGGGCACUGUAACCUCCCUGUAUCAAGCCUCAGGUCAUGUAAUUACACUGUAUGGGGAUCUCGAGCCUUUUAAUACCUUGAGCAGCGUGACCGCCCUGUAAUCAGGGUCCAGGUCUGUGCUGUUUUGUCCUUUCAACAUUAUGCUCCAUUAGCUGGCUAGUGAGAGUGACUGCCCUGUAAUCAGGGUUCAAGUCACCCCCUCCCCUCGCUUUCGAGGGAAUUGAGCUCUUUGGUAACUUGAGCAAUGUGACCGCCCUGUAACUAGGGUCCAGGUCUUUGCCCGCUUGCUCGUUUAGCAUUACGCCUUGUUGUGGCCCUCUAGUCAGGAUGACAACCCUGUAAUCAGGGUACAAGUCAUAUUUCUUUUGCUUCUGGGGGAUACUGAGCUCUUUGGAACCCUGAGCCGUGUGACUCACCUCCCUGUAAUUCGGAGUCAGGUCUCUGCCCUCUUGCUGUUUUGGCAUCACGUCCUUCUGACAGUCUCGUCAAAGUGACCACCUGUAAUUCGGCUGCAUGUCACAAGUUUCUGUAGUCUGGGAAGUACUUAGCCCUUUGAUACCUUGUGGAGCGUGACCGCCCUGUAAUACGGGGUCGGGUCUCUGCCCUUUUGCUCUCUGGCUUUAUGCACCUUUAUCGUUCUAAUCAGAGUGACCACCCCGUAAUUAGGGUGCAGGUCGAAUCUCUCUCAUUUAUCAGGGAUGAGGGUUAUUUUAGGGUCCUUAGGAGCGUGACCGCCCUGUAAUCAGGGUUCAGGUCUAAAGUUGUCUUCUGUGAUUAUCCUCUUUAAUUCAGCUAGUCAGAGUGACCACCUUGUAAUCAGGGUUGAGAGUCACCUUCCCCUCACUUAUGGGAGCUACUGAUGCUUUGUUACUUGAGCCGUGUGACCUCCCUGUAACUAGGGUUCAGGUCUCUGUCCUUUGCUCAUCUGGGAUUGUGUCUUGUUCUCAGCUUGGUCAGUUUGACUGCCCUGUAAUUAGGGUGCAGGUCAUGUGCCUCUUAUUUAGAGAGGACUAGAUUCCCCUUAAUGCGUUGGGCUGAGUGACCACCCUGUAAGUAGGGUUCAGGUCUCCUCCUUUUCUCUUACUUGUGAUAUAUUUUCCAUUAAUUGGCUAGCCCGAGGGACCGCCCUGUAAGAAGGGUUCAGGUCCUUUCCCUUUUGGCUCCUUUGGAUUGUUGGGCUAGUCACUUGGACCCGCCCUGUAAUCAGGGUGCAGGUCUUGUCUCUUUUCCCCUUGUUUUUUUGAGGGGAGGAAGAUUGUUCGAGUUUAACAGAGGGUCGAGUGACCCGUUGCGAUGAGCUCUCUUUCUGUUCUGGGAAGUCCCCCUUUGUUUUAUA